UUCUGUCUUGGAAAGCCACCAGCUCUGGGUCUUCCAGACUACAGCAAGCCUUUCCAUUUGUACAUGCACGAGGCUGCAGGGACGGCUGCCGCAAUCCUUGACCAAGAGCACGGGGGCUCUUAUCGCCCAGUGGCAUAUUUAUCUAAAACAUUGGAUUCCGUUGCAAAGGGACUCCCUGGUUGUCUGCGAGCAGUGGUACAGGAUGCAGAACGAGUUGUGCUUUCACAUCCUCUGACUGUGCACACAACUCACCAGGGCACUUUUGAGGCUGACUCGCAUGAUUGUAUGGAGAAAAUACAGGUGUCCACUGCAUGCAGACAGGAUGAUUCUGCAUCCGCUCUGCAAGAGAGGAGACACUGAAAAGCCGACUCACCCAUUUGUUCCAAAUUACCAGGUCCUAGUUAAGUGUCUGAAACCAACGAAGCUUGGUGAGCCCAAGUAUCUGGGUACAACAAUGGUUCUGGCGGUAACCAGGACAGGGGUACUGACAGAUCUGUAACCACAGUGGAUACACGCAAGCCAUGUGAAGCCUGCACCUGGGGAGAGCCUGACUAUUUCGAAAGCGAACAGUGAAAGUACUGGAGGAGAUGAACAUGCAGCGCCAGUGCCUAACCAGGAACUUGUGAAUUAGAAGGGACAAAGAAUGAAGUUCUUUAUUAUGUCGCUCUAUCUUAUGGCAGUAGUCGAAGCACGUAUAUCUAGUGGUAAUGACACAUGGAUAGAUGAUGGUGAUGCACCACAUACCUACGCUACCAAUUUAUGGUGGAAACUAGCUAACUUCAUGGCCAAAAAUACGGGAAAGAAGGGUAGUUUUUAUGUAUGUACGCAUAUGCCGCAUAGUGCAUCUAUACCAGCGGUAAAGGUAACACCGGUAAAAGAACAGGAGCUGGUGUGCUUACUAGGAGUUGUAUAACUAUGUAACCCCAUAACACCUACUAAACAAGGAACACGAGUGAUAGGAGACCGAUAUUGGCAAUGUGGUCAUAAUUUGUACACUGCUCUGCCGGAAUUAUGGACAGGCAGAUGUGCCAUGGUAGAAUUAAGUGACUACAACAUGGUGGUCCGAGCUAUUGAGAAAACAACAAACAGAAGAAGGAGAAACAGUCUAAAUGGACCCAA